rnacentral:rRNA from 1 species
AGUGAACGCUGGCGGUAGGCCUAACACAUGCAAGUCGAACGGCAGCACAGUAAGAGCUUGCUCUUACGGGUGGCGAGUGGCGGACGGGUGAGGAAUACAUCGGAAUCUACUUUUUCGUGGGGGAUAACGUAGGGAAACUUACGCUAAUACCGCAUACGACCUACGGGUGAAAGCAGGGGAUCUUCGGACCUUGCGCGAUUGAAUGAGCCGAUGUCGGAUUAGCUAGUUGGCGGGGUAAAGGCCCACCAAGGCGACGAUCCGUAGCUGGUCUGAGAGGAUGAUCAGCCGCACUGGAACUGAGACACGGUCCAGACUCCUACGGGAGGCAGCAGUGGGGAAUAUUGGACAAUAGGCGCAAGCCUGAUCCAGCCAUACCGCGUGGGUGAAGGAGGCCUUCGGGUUGUAAAGCCCUUUUGUUGGGAAAGAAAAGCAGCAGGUUAAUACCCCGCUGUUCUGACGGUACCCAAAGAAUAAGCACCGGCUAACUUCGUG